UAUGCGCUGCCAGGCACUCAAAGACACUGAACUCUCAUCUUGAGGCAGAAACUAAGCACAUUUGUGCAGGGAAAUCCAUGCCUCAUGCCGCACUCCAGCCUGCUCUGGGUGUUCCUGGCCUUCACCUUCUCUGGAUCUGGUGUGGCACAGAAAGUUAUUCAAGACCAGCCAGACACAUCCAGUCAACUGGGACAGUCAGUCACCCUGAACUGUCGGUAUGCAACAGCCUGGAGCUACAUGUUUUGGUACAAGCUGCUUCCCAAUGGAGAGAUGAUUUACCUUAUUGGUCAGGUUUUACUGGCCAGAAUGCAAGGAAUGGCCGCUACUCUGUAAACUUACAGAAAGCUAGUAAAUCCAUCAGCCUCACCAUUUCAGACUUACAACUGGAAGAUUCUGCAGAGUAUUUCUGUGCUCUCUGGGAGCUCACAGUGUUUGAAGUAAUGGGAAUAGCUAAACAAAAACCCCAGAGUUUAAUAAAAGAGAGCUUCCCUGCUGCA